GCGGGAGUAACUCAGUGGUAGAGUGCCACCUUGCCAAGGUGGACGUCGCGGGUUCAAAUCCCGUCUCCCGCUCCC
rnacentral:tRNA from 1 species